ensembl:lncRNA
GUUGUCUGCAGACAAGAAUAAUAUUAGGAAGUGUUGUGGACUAGAUUCACAUGACCUGAGAGGGCUAUAUUUGGAAGAUGGGAGACAGUGACAGAGAUAGUUUUGGGCUCAGGGUGUACAGGGACUUGACCCCAAUCGUACUGUUGGACAGCUUCAGUCUCAGAAGACAAGUCACUAGGUGUCGAAUGCUGGGCAUCAGUCACAGGUCAGGAAGGCAGGGUCUCUAUUCUCAAACAGCUCCCAUUUUGCCAUCGGAUCUUCACAAUCAAUACCGGGCAGAAAACAAAGCCGUAUUGCUUGACACAGACCUUCAAAUUCUUAGAAAACCUACAGUUGUCUGUUCCUUGUCUUCCCAUUUCCAUCCAGGCACUUAGAAGGACGACAAGUCACGGCAGAUGCAAAAAUUCACAGGGUGUGUUGUGGCAAAUAGGAAUCCCAGGAGUCCGAGGCGUCCUCGGUGCCCACACCUGCAUGCAAAACAAGCCCUGGGAGCUGCCCAAGCUGAGGUAGCACGCGAGGAGCCCUCUCAUGGGCACGUUUGCCUGAGCAGAGCACAGACUGUGACAGGGCUCUCCACAGACCUUCCCUGGACGGGAGCCCUCACGUCUGUCAUCCCAGAGCCUGGCAAGAAACAGAGGAACUCCCUGAAACAAAAAUAUUUCCACCAAUGGCAGAACGCAGUACUCCUGUGCCUUCCUCUUGAAGCCUGAAAAGUGCUUUUUCUUCACAUUGGGAGGGGGAAGGGACCUUCCUGACAUUGGCCUAUAUUACUCAGGAUGUAGCUCAAGAUCCAGAAGAUGGGCCUCCUGGUAAGAUUCACAUAGCAAUCAUAGAAAAUCGGGCUCAGCACUUGGUGUAGAAUCAGGAAAAUUACAAGAUGAAUGGACCGUUGUGAAUAUGAAACAUAGCCUGUUCUUUAAAGUGAAAAGGAAGGAAAGAAAGACCCUGGCAAUUAUCGCCCUGUAAACAUCAGUUCCAGCUGUAAUAAGUGUGUGUGUGUGUUGUGUGUGUGUGUGUGUGUGUGUGUGUGUGCGCGCGCGCGCACACACAUGCGUGUGGUUAAGUAGCAGGAAAGUGAUGAUAUCAGGAACAAUAAGUGGCUUAGGCUUCAAAGAAACAAAUCAUGCCAGCACAAUAGCUUUUUUUUUUUGACAGAGUUAUGAAUAGAUGGUGGGGAAAUGCAAGAGAUGUAAUAUAUCUUAUGUUAGUAAAGAUUUGAUAUGUCUCAGGAAAUUUUAUUUGCAAAAUUAGCUACAAGAUCACAAAGAAAGGUUAUUGAUAAAUUGCAAAGUAUCUGGUGGUAGGAAGGUGCAGAGAUGGCCGCCUGGGAUGGCCUUAUUUAACAGUUUCAUCAUUAAUUUGGAAGAGGGAGUGAAUCUUUCUCUGUGUUCAUAAAAAUUGCAGGUUAUACGAAAUCAGGACAUGGUGUGAACACUGAUCAGCCAGGGACUGACACAAAGUGGUCCCCAAAGAAGGAAGAUUGGACAGAAACAAGAGGCAACUGAGAAGAGCCACAUUUUUAGGUCUGUUUUGAUUUACCUUUCUUGUAGUGCAUAAAAUGAGAAUGUGAUAGCCAAGUGGGGCGACACAGACAUGGAGAAGAAGAUGGGCAACAGAAAGGAAUCUGUUCAACACACACUCGUGGGGACCCUCAUUUGCUGGGGCCAGUGUGUGCCAAGUUCUGCACGUGGACUUUGUGCUGUGUGAGCA